UUUGAUCAUGGCUCAGAAUCAACGCUGGCGGCGUGCCUAACACAUGCAAGUCGAACGCGGGGUCUGCUUUCGGGCAGACUCUGAGUGGCGUCCGGGUGAGUAACACGUGGGUAAUCUACCUUCGGGUGGGGAAUAACAUCUCGAAAGAGGUGCUAAUACCGCAUAACGCAGCGGCAUCUAAUGAUGACAGUUGUUAAAGCGGGGGAUCAGCAAUGACCUCGUGCCUGGAGAGGAGCCUGCGGCAGAUUAGCUGGUUGGUGAGGUAAUGGCUCACCAAGGCGACGAUCUGUAGCUGGUCUGAGAGGACGGCCAGCCACACUGGCACUGACACACGGGCCAGACUCCUACGGGAGGCAGCAGUGGGGAAUUUUGGGCAAUGGGGGAAACCCUGACCCAGCAACGCCGCGCGAGGGAGGAAAUCCUUCGGGAUGUAAACCUCAUAAGUAAGGGACGAAAGCAGAGCUUAUAACAUAGGCUUUGUCUCCGGACCUUCGGGGGCU
rnacentral:rRNA from 1 species